rnacentral:lncRNA from 13 species
GCCCUUGGCAGGACGUGAGCUCUGUUCUUCGCUAAAGCAUGCAUCUGAUCGCUGACAAUUUUUUUUUCCUUCUUUUCCCUUUUGUCUCUGGGACAUCAGGGAUUGAGCACAAACUGGCAGUGAAUGAUAUCCCUCCCAACUUUGGUGAUUAUGUUCGUUAAUAAUGAUUAUCGCUUCUAUGUAAUAUUUGCAUGAUAAACUAUAGACAUCUGGUGCAGCGUGCAUGUGCGUGUGGUGUUUGUUGGAAAACAGAAGAAGCUAAAUGCUGAUGAAAUGUGAAAUCUAACCGUUCAGACUAAAAAUAAAGUCAGCAGGCUUUAGGAUUUCUGUAUGCCAGCAAUUCUGAACUGCUUACAUUCGCCGUCUUAGUUACCGUGGAAACACUUGGCUGGGCAUAUACAGACAUGGAGUACACAAUUUGUGGGCCUGGCCCCUGGGGGUCCCAUUACAGAAUUUUGUAUGUUUAGAAAUAUUUUGUAAUAAGGCCCCUUGUGUCACUUAUUAGUGAUAAAACGUACAACUGCCUUCAUCAGCAUCAACCUCAAAUUUGUUUCUCAUUGAAAUGAACCAGCAUGCUUUCAGACUGGUUUCCACCAUGUUGGCUCACGUCUCGAACUCCUGAGCUCAAGCGAUCCAUCAUUCUUUGCCACAAGAUCAUGAGAGCUCUAUUCCUCUCCACAUGGCUGCCUACUUUCCUCUCUGCUGCCUGAUCAUAAGGCAGGACUUCUCCAUUUGCCUCCCCUCCAAGCCCAGUAAUGAGGAAUCCAGUACAGAGUAAUUAGACUGUCUGCGACUGAGGUGCCUGCCAAUUAUGCUGAUGGAACUGAAGUCUUAUUAGACUAAUAAGGUUUUCUAAAUUGGACUUGGGGUUCCUGGUGAUGUGUGCAUUCCUGAGAGAAGUUGCUCAAGUAUUGAAAAUGAGUUUACCUAAGGAUAAAGUUUCACCUUGGAUGAACUAGAGUGAGAAGUGAGUUCACAUGUGAAUUUGGCCACUCAUCUGCUAUGGGACCUCGGAUAAACGUUUACAUUUACGGGUGGGGAAUGAGUCUCUGGCCCUAUCAGUAAAAUGGCAAAAUUAAUUCCCACUGAAAAAUUAUGAGGAUAAUGAAAUAAUCUAAAAAGAGUAUAACAUGAUAUUUUACAUGAAUUACCUUAUAAACCUUAACUUUAAGCGUGGUUACUUACUCAUUCUACAUAGUAAACAAUGAAAUACAGGUAAUUUUAUUAUUAUUGUUACAAAUGUCUCAUAAUCUUGAAGAGUUUUGCAGACAGAGAAACCUCCAUGUGAAUUUCAUCCACAACAUUGACAAAUACUGUUUGGCCACUCUUAACCUUGGUUUCUCUCUCCUUAAAUAAAGCUAAAAAUAGUAACA